AUUGAACGCUGGCGGCAGGCCUAACACAUGCAAGUCGAGCGGAUGAAGGGAGCUUGCUCCUGGAUUCAGCGGCGGACGGGUGAGUAAUGCCUAGGAAUCUGCCUGGUAGUGGGGGAUAACGUCCGGAAACGGGCGCUAAUACCGCAUACGUCCUGAGGGAGAAAGUGGGGGAUCUUCGGACCUCACGCUAUCAGAUGAGCCUAAGUCGGAUUAGCUAGUUGGUGGGGUAAAGGCCUACCAAGGCGACGAUCCGUAACUGGUCUGAGAGGAUGAUCAGUCACACUGGAACUGAGACACGGUCCGGACUCCUACGGGAGGCAGCAGUGGGGAAUAUUGGACAAUGGGCGAAAGCCUGAUCCAGCCAUGCCGCGUGUGUGAAGAAGGUCUUCGGAUUGUAAAGCACUUUAAGUUGGGAGGAAGGGCAGUAAGUUAAUACCUUGCUGUCUUGACGUUACCAACAGAAUAAGCACCGGCUAACUUCGUG
rnacentral:rRNA from 1 species